AAUCAACGCUGGCGGCGCGCUUAACACAUGCAAGUCGGACGAGAAAGGGGAGCAAUCCCUGAGUACAGUGGCGUACGGGUGAGUAACACGUGGAUGAUCUACCUCUUAGUGGGGGAUACCUCUGGGAAACCGGAGACAAUACCGCAUAAGCUCGAGAGAGGAAAGCAGCAAUGCGCUGAGAGAGGAGUCCGCGGCCGAUUAGCUAGUUGGUAGGGUAAAGGCCUACCAAGGCAAAGAUCGGUAGCCGGCCUGAGAGGGCACACGGCCACACUGGCACUGAAACACGGGCCAGACUCCUACGGGAGGCAGCAGUGGGGAAUCUUGCACAAUGGGGGAAACCCUGAUGCAGCGACGCCGCGUGAGCGAUGAAGCCCUUCGGGGUGUAAAGCUCUUUCGACGGGAACGAUAAUGACGGUACCCGGAGAAGAAGCUGCGGCUAACUACGUGCCAGCAGCCGCGGUAAUACGUAGGCAGCAAGCGUUGUUCGGAGUUACUGGGCGUAAAGAGUGCGUAGGCGGUUCCGUAAGUUUGGUGUGAAAUCUCCCGGCUUAACUGGGAGGGUGCGCCGAAAACUGCGGAGCUGGAGUGUGGGAGAGGUAAGCGGAAUUCCUGGUGUAGCGGUGAAAUGCGUAGAUAUCAGGAGGAACACCGGCGGUGUAGACGGCUUACUGGACCAUGACUGACGCUGAGGCACGAAAGCGUGGGGAGCAAACAGGAUUAGAUACCCUGGUAGUCCACGCCCUAAACGAUGCACACUUGGUGUGAGCGAUUCAUUUCGUUCGUGCCGGAGCUAACGCGUUAAGUGUGCCGCCUGGGGAGUACGGUCGCAAGGCUG
rnacentral:rRNA from 1 species